UUCAAACUUUAGCUAUUGGCCCAUUAAUACAAGCAAAAAGAAUGACUGGCUAUAUAUGUGAUGGAGUUAGAUACUUAACAGAGUCUCGUGAUGUUAAGAGAAAAACUCAAAGUAGUGGUAUUAUGUUAAAGACUCACUCAAAGUUAUGCAAGCACAAAAGAUAAAAAUCCCAUAUUGGCAGAGGUUUCUUUUUAUGGAAUCCUCACAGACAUAAUUGAGUUAUAUUAUUCCAAGAAUCUCAAGUUUGUAUUGUUUAAAUGUAAAUGGGUGAACAAUAGCAAGGGGCUUAUUGAGAAAGAUGAUUAUGGAUUUACUCUUGUGAAUUUUAAUCAUUUACUCUAUACAAGACAUCAGUUAUCAGAUGAACUAUUCAUCUUUGCUUCUCAAGCUCAACAAGUGUUUUAUGUCGAUCAUCCUAUGGAAAAGGAGUGGCAAAUGGUUGUUAAACUUAAGCUAAGAGGUUUUUAUGAUUUAGGUGAUGACACACCAACAAUUGAGCAUAAGGAAGGGCAUAUGUAGUUGUCGCCUAAACAACAAUUGGAUGACACAACAUUUGAAACUGAAGAAGACAUUGAAUGGGUUAGAGAAGGAGUACCAGGAUUAGAAAUUGACCCAGAAACUUUGGAAAGUAAUGAAGCAUAUGAUGAAGAUGACAACAUAUCUUAGUUUUUGUUACUAUAGUAGUAUAAUCACUAUUUCAGUACAAUUGAUUUUUGAACAAUAAUGACUUUGAUGUUUUUACUCUUUAUUCAGCUGUUAAAAUGUCAUAAGUUUAUAUAUCUUAUUAUUUGACAUGAUAGUUAGAUAUUAUUUUAUACUUUUAUAUAGUAGAAACUACUUUAAAUUUGGCAGGAUUCAUAGCUUCUAAGGAACUUCGUUGAAAUGGCAAGAAAAAGACACAGAAAUUCUAGUCAAGGUGAUCUUUUAUAUGAUUCUUCGGAGCAACAAAAACAACAAAUCAGAAGUAUGUCAAUGCCUCAAUCGCCCCAAAAUUGGGCCCAAAAUGAAAGAGAUGAAUCGCAUGAUACAAAAAAUCUUCCAGAUUCUGAGCAACAAAAACAACAAAUCGGAAGUAUGGCAAUGCCUCAACCGCCCCAAAAUUGGUCACAAAAUGAAAGAGAUGAAUCACAUGAUACAAAAAAUCUUCCAGAUUCUAACCAACAAAAACAACAAAUCGGAAGUAUGGCAAUGCCUCAACCGCCCCAAAAUUGGUCACAAAAUGAAAGAGAUGAAUCACAUGAUACAAAAAAUCUUCCAGAUUCUAAUGAGAGUGAAGAGAAAUCUAAGCGAACUAGGGGUCACACUAUGAUGCACUCGGGAUGGGGAAAGAUGGUGGAAAUUUACAUAUUGAAUUGAAUGAACAUGGUCAAGUUAUUGGAUCAGAAGGAACUAGAUUGAGUUCAAAACUUGGUGUGCUAGCACGAAAUGGCAUCUUAGCGCCACUGAAUCAUAAAGAUUGGAGGCUUGUACCUAGUAUGUACAAGGAUAGAAUAUGGGCUCAUAUCAAGGAAAAUACUGACGCAACUGAUGACAUGAAACACAUACUGAUGAUGUCAUUUAGAUCUAAAUGGAAAUAAUCAAAGCAUGAAGCAAAAACCAUUGGAUAUGACCCAUAUAACACUGAUAUUGAGCAUUUAGCUCAUUGUCCAGAUAGAGUUGAAGAAGAUCAGUGGCGUUCAUUAGUUCAUUAUUGGAGCUCAAAAGAAGCAAAGG